UACGUAGGGUGCGAGCGUUAAUCGGAAUUACUGGGCGUAAAGCGUGCGCAGGCGGUUAUAUAAGACAGUUGUGAAAUCCCCGGGCUCAACCUGGGAAUUGCAUCUGUGACUGUAUAGCUAGAGUACGGUAGAGGGGGAUGGAAUUCCGCGGUGUAGCAGUGAAAUGCGUAGAUAUGCGGAGGAACACCGAUGGCGAAGGCAAUCCCCUGGACCUGUGACUGACGCUCAUGCACGAAAGCGUGGGGAGCGAUCCGGAU
rnacentral:rRNA from 1 species